UACGAAGGGGGCUAGCGUUGCUCGGAAUCACUGGGCGUAAAGGGUGCGUAGGCGGGUCUUUAAGUCAGGGGUGAAAUCCUGGAGCUCAACUCCAGAACUGGCCUUUGAUACUGAGGAUCUUGAGUUCGGGAGAGGUGAGUGGAACUGCGAGUGUAGAGGUGAAAUUCGUAGAUAUCGCAAGAACACCAGUGGCGAAGGCGGCUCACUGGCCCGAUACUGACGCUGAGGCACGAAAGCGUGGGGAGCAAACAGG
rnacentral:rRNA from 1 species